rnacentral:rRNA from 1 species
UACGUAGGGAGCAAGCGUUGUCCGGAAUCAUUGGGCGUAAAGCGCGCGUAGGCGGCGCGGUAAGUCCGCUCUGAAAGUCCAGGGCUUAACCCUGGAAAGCGGGUGGAUACUGCCGGGCUAGAGUCCGGAAGAGGCGAGUGGAAUUCCUGGUGUAGCGGUGGAAUGCGCAGAUAUCAGGAGGAACACCAAUAGCGAAGGCAGCUCGCUGGGACGGUAUUGACGCUAAGGCGCGAAAGCGUGGGGAGCAAACAGG